rnacentral:rRNA from 1 species
CNNUUNCAUGGAGCAAGUCUGAUGGAGCAACGCCGCGUGAGUGAAGAAGGUUUUCGGAUCGUAAAGCUCUGUUGUUGGUGAAGAAGGAUAGAGGUAGUAACUGGCCUUUAUUUGACGGUAAUCAACCAGAAAGUCACGGCUAACUACGUGCCAGCAGCCGCGGUAAUACA